UUUACCUAUGUAAGCUGUAUUGUUUGACUAAAGAACUUUGGCUUGCUUGCUUAAUGACUUCUUCCUUUCCUUAAAACUUAUGGCUUGGUUGUUU